UAUCAAUAUAUCAAUUUCUUUCAUUCUCAAAGAAUUAUCGUCUUUAUAGUUAGGGCUUAUUUUGGUAAUGCCAUUGCCGUGUACUCCGUACUUGGUAUUUCUAUGGCCACUGCAAUUGCUAUGGUUUGUGAUUCCCUUUUUUUUUUUAACCUCGAAUUUGCACACUGAACGCAUGAUAUAUUUUUCAUAAUAUGCAAAGUAAACCCCAAGCAAGCAUCUAACUUUGUGAAUAGCGAUUCUCUCUUCAUUUUUAAUUGAAAGAUCAACAACUAAGCCACUAAGUGAUUAUAAUCUUCCUUUUCUUCUGUUUUGUAGCAGGUGUUUGUACACCCUUUCCUGAUAUCAACCGGAAGUAGAGUUUCUACACGAAAUAUCAAUCGUUCGACUCGGAACCGGUCUUCAAUUCUGACAGACUUAUUGUUUCACCGCCUCGUACUUGAGACACAGUCAGGGAUAUAGACUAAGUAAGGAAUGGUAUAUCUUUCAGAGUUCAAGAAAGGUGAUGACAUUCAUCUUUCGAUUAGAGACGCUGAGGAAGAUGAUCCAAAAACUGGAACCCAUUUUAUCAUUCAAAGGUCACUUCGGCGCCCUACUGGCAGCAUGAGAGCAUCUCUUGAUCAGUCAAUCUUUCGCAGUGAGAUGGCGAUCCAAGUGACUCCAGGAACUUCUAGUGAUCCCCCUUUUUAUGUUCUCAAAAGCACUCUCCCUGAUAGGUAUCAACUAGAUGCCUUGUCUCCAAUGCUUGGUCGUCGUAUU